GUGUUUGCUUCGGCAGCACAUAUACUAAAAUUGGAACGAUACAAAGAAGAUUAGCAUGGCCCCUGCAUAAGGAUGACAGGCAAAUUCGUGAAGCGUUCCGUAUUUUU
rnacentral:snRNA from 1 species